UACGUAGGGUCCGAGCGUUGUCCGGAAUUACUGGGCGUAAAGAGCUCGUAGGUGGUUUGUCGCGUUGUUCGUGAAAACUCACAGCUCAACUGUGGGCGUGCGGGCGAUACGGGCAGACUGGAGUACUGCAGGGGAGACUGGAAUUCCUGGUGUAGCGGUGGAAUGCGCAGAUAUCAGGAGGAACACCGGUGGCGAAGGCGGGUCUCUGGGCAGUAACUGACGCUGAGGAGCGAAAGCGUGGGAGCGAACAGG
rnacentral:rRNA from 1 species